rnacentral:rRNA from 1 species
UUGGCUCAGGAUGAACGCUGGCGGCGUGCCUAACACAUGCAAGUCGAACGGAGUUAUUUUGACGGAUUCCUUCGGGAUGACGGAUUUUUAACUUAGUGGCGGACGGGUGAGUAACGCGUGAGUAACCUGCCUCUAAGAGGGGAAUAACGUUCUGAAAAGAUCGCUAAUACCGCAUAACAUAUUGAAGCCGCAUGACUUUGAUAUCAAAGAUUUAUCGCUUAGAGAUGGACUCGCGUCCGAUUAGCUUGUUGGCGGGGUAACGGCCCACCAAGGCGACGAUCGGUAGCCGGACUGAGAGGUUGAACAGCCACAUUGGGACUGAGACACGGCCCAGACUCCUACGGGAGGCAGCAGUGGGGAAUA